GUUUAAAUAGUUUAAAAAAAACUUUAGUUUUGUAAACUAAAAUUAAGAAUUUUUCUUUUUAAACU
rnacentral:tRNA from 1 species